rnacentral:rRNA from 1 species
GACGUAGGGUGCGAGCGUUGUCCGGAUUUAUUGGGCGUAAAGAGCUCGUAGGCGGCUCGUCGCGUCGACCGUGAAAACCCGCGGCUUAACUGCGGGCUUGCGGUUGAUACGGGCGGGCUAGAGUUCGGUAGGGGAGACUGGAAUUCCUGGUGUAGCGGUGAAAUGCGCAGAUAUCAGGAGGAACACCGGUGGCGAAGGCGGCAUCCUGGACCGAAACUGACGCUGAUGCGCGAAAGCUAGGGGAGCAAACGGG